rnacentral:lncRNA from 1 species
GAUGCUAUUGUAAAUUGUUUCCAUACUCUGUUCAGUCGAGGAAGUGUAUCCCCAGAUGACCGAGAAGUGCAGCGCAAAGAUUGGCAUAACACAACUGUGGCCUGUAGCAACUGCCUGCCAUAGUCAAAACUUUCGUUUCUUGAGCAUCAUCGCCCAAUCUGAUGUGAGUCUUAAGCAGAGCAUCCAGAAGUUCACUUAGCCAUUCUACUGCCU